AACGCACGAGACCUGCGGACCUGCGGAAGGAUCAUUAGAGAAACAGGAUACAGCGUGUUCGCGCCCUGUAUCCAACCCACUCUAUUCACACCUGUGAACUGCCGAUCGCUCGGGGGGAGACCAGGUGAAAGAUCCGUUUCCCCUGGGUCGAGGGUGCCCUAAGGGGGCACCCGAAUUAUUACUUAAACCAGUGUUGUGAAGGCCACGCCGUAUGGCGAUUAAAACCAAAUACAACUUUCA
rnacentral:misc_RNA from 1 species